rnacentral:lncRNA from 1 species
ACAGAUGGUGGACCUGCUGUGUGCCUCAUAACCCCGGCACACAGACCGCUGCCCUCAUCUCUCACUGACGCAGACAAGGUAAGCUCGCAGCAUUCACCAGCUCAAGGCAGGUGUAUUUAUUUCAAAAUAUCAUCUGUCAUAAAAGGUACCGCAGUAUAUAAAUGGUGCAUCAAGUGCCACAAGCCGUUGCAGAGACCUACAGAGGACCUGGUCCUGAGCUCUCUGCCCUCUCCCCGUUCUUACCUCUAAUGCUCCCACCACGGGGCUCGUUUUUGCCUGACAGCAUUAUCCUGGAUUUAGCACUGGCUCUCAGUGCAAUGACUGGGGCCCUCAUAAGAACAGGAAAGCACCUGGAGUCCCGAGAGGGAGGCUGGAGAGAUGCGGCUGCAGACUCAGGAACCCCGGGGCCACCAGAAGCUGGAAGAGGCAGAAGGGUCCUCCACGAGCGCCUUCAGAAAGCUCCUCGCUCUGCCGACACCUGCGUUUCAGGAUUUCAGGCUAAAGCCUUCAGAACCCUGAGAGAAUGAAUUUCAGGUGUUGUAAGGCCUGAGUUUGCAAUCAUUUGUUAUGGCGGCCACGGAAAACAAACAAAAGGAAAGAAUGUGACACUCACGGCCCUUGUCCCCUGGCCCCCACUUCCUUUUCUGAGCACUCACGAGUAGUUUCUCAUCUCUCUUUCUAGAACCUUCACCUCCAUGUGUUCUUUCCGCAGGUGGUGGCAGUACACUCUGCUCUGCCCAUUCUUUCAUAAUAAACCUGAUGAGUUUCAUAAUAAAACUCAUCACAUAUGAGUUCACCGUUUCACUGUGUAUGUGGCCGCACAACAAGUUAUUUUUCCUAAGUUCACUAAGUUAUUUUUCCUAAUCUUGUGCACCACAAACAAGCUACAGCGAAUGCACCUGCUCACAUGCCAUGUGUCUGAGCCUAUCUACAGGCUGCAUUCCCAGCAGUGGAAUCCCUGGACACAGGGUGGAGGUUUUUACAUUCUAGCAGUUCUGGCUCAGUUGUGCUCUGUCUGCAAUAUAUAUACAAGAGCCAAGGUCCCUGUGCCCUUCCCGGAAAGGCGUGCCCUCGCCCAUCUUGAUCUUCGAUAAUCUAAGUGAGAAGUGGCAUGAGAAUUUGGGUUGACCGUCUAUUUAUAUAAAUAGGAACAAUUUUUAUUUCCUUUCCUGAAAAAGGUUAAAAUCCUUUUUUAUGUUUC